rnacentral:rRNA from 1 species
CUUGGCGGCAAUAGCGCGGUGGUCCCACCUGACCCCAUGCCGAACUCAGCAGUGAAACGCCGUAGCGCCGAUGGUAGUGUGGGGUCUCCCCAUGUGAGAGU